rnacentral:rRNA from 1 species
UACGUAGGGUGCAAGCGUUAAUCGGAAUUACUGGGCGUAAAGCGUGCGCAGGCGGUUUUGUAAGUUUGUCGUGAAAGCCCCGGGCUCAACCUGGGGAAUUGCGAUGAAGACUGCAAGGCUUGAAUCUGGCAGAGGGGGGUAGAAUUCCACGUGUAGCAGUGAAAUGCGUAGAGAUGUGGAGGAACACCGAUGGCGAAGGCAGCCCCCUGGGUCAAGAUUGACGCUCAUGCACGAAAGCGUGGGGAGCAAACAGGG